UAACGAACGAGACCUUAACCUGCUUAAUAGCCAGGCCGGCUUUUGCUGGUCGCCGGCUUCUUAGAGGGACUGUCUGCGUCUAGCAGACGGAAGUUUGAGGCAAUAACAGGUCUGUGAUGCCCUUAGAUGUUUUGGGCCGCACGCGCGCUACACUGACAGAGCCAGCGAGUUUAUAACCUUGGCCGGAAGGUCUGGGUAAUCUUGUGAAACUCUGUCGUGCUGGGGAUAGAGCAUUGCAAUUAUUGCUCUUCAACGAGGAAUUCCUAGUAAGCGUGAGUCAUC
rnacentral:rRNA from 1 species